AAGUCGAGCGGAUGACGGGAGCUUGCUCCUUGAUUCAGCGGCGGACGAGGUGAGUAAUGCCUAGGAAUCUGCCUGGUAGUGGGGGACAACGUUUCGAAAGGAACGCUAAUACCGCAUACGUCCUACGGGAGAAAGCAGGGGACCUUCGGGCCUUGCGCUAUCAGAUGAGCCUAGGUCGGAUUAGCUAGUUGGUGAGGUAAUGGCUCACCAAGGCGACGAUCCGUAACUGGUCUGAGAGGAUGAUCAGUCACACUGGAACUGAGACACGGUCCAGACUCCUACGGGAGGCAGCAGUGGGGAAUAUUGGACAAUGGGCGAAAGCCUGAUCCAGCCAUGCCGCGUGUGUGAAGAAGGUCUUCGGAUUGUAAAGCACUUUAAGUUGGGAGGAAGGGCAGUAAGUUAAUACCUUGCUGUUUUGACGUUACCGACAGAAUAAGCACCGGCUAACUCUGUGCCAGCAGCCGCGGUAAUACAGAGGGUGCAAGCGUUAAUCGGAAUUACUGGGCGUAAAGCGCGCGUAGGUGGUUCGUUAAGUUGGAUGUGAAAGCCCCGGGCUCAACCUGGGAACUGCAUCCAAAACUGGCGAGCUAGAGUACGGUAGAGGGUGGUGGAAUUUCCUGUGUAGCGGUGAAAUGCGUAGAUAUAGGAAGGAACACCAGUGGCGAAGGCGACCACCUGGACUGAUACUGACACUGAGGUGCGAAAGCGUGGGGAGCAAACAGGAUUAGAUACCCUGGUAGUCCACGCCGUAAACGAUGUCAACUAGCCGUUGGAAUCCUUGAGAUUUUAGUGGCGCAGCUAACGCAUUAAGUUGACCGCCUGGGGAGUACGGCCGCAAGGUUAAAACUCAAAUGAAUUGACGGGGGCCCGCACAAGCGGUGGAGCAUGUGGUUUAUUUCGAAGCAACGCGAAGAACCUU
rnacentral:rRNA from 1 species